AUGUGACUAUAUGUUUAACGGCCGCGGUAUUUUGACCGUGCGAAGGUAGCGCAAUCACUUGUCUCUUAAAUGGGGACCUGUAUGAAGGGCACGACGAGGGCUUGACUGUCUCCUACCCCUGGCCAGUGAAAUUGAUCUCCCCGUGCAGAAGCGGGGUUACCACCAUAAGACGAGAAGACCCCAUGGAGCUUAAGAUAUUAGGUAGCCCAUUUUGAGUAGCUAUAUUAUUAGGGAUGAAGUUAUGGUGUUCUAUCCUACUUGUCUUUGGUUGGGGUGACUAUGGGGGAGAAUAUAGCCUCCAUGUGGGUGGGGGUAUAACCCCUACAAUUGAGACUGAUGGGUUUAAAUAACAGAAUUUUUGACUAAAGUGAUCCGGCUAUUGCCGAUUAACAGACCAAGUUACCCUGGGGAUAACAGCGCAAUCUUCUCCGAGAGUCCCUAUCGACGAGGGGGUUUACGACCUCGAUGCUGGAUCAGGACAUCCUAAUGGUGCAGUCGCUAUUAAGGGUUCGUUUGUUC
rnacentral:rRNA from 1 species